AGAGCCUUCGGUAAUAUCUUCGAUUAAUUUUCCCAAAUCACGAUAUUCCCUCUCUGCAAUUUUAUUCGCACCAAGACCUAAUGUUCGUCGCUUCCUCAAGGUGAAACGAAAACCCUAAACCCUUCUUCAUUGCACGAAAGACUUGCUCGAAAAUAUUUGUUUUUGCAUCAAUUCUAGCCAGUAAACCGUUGGAGGAGUGCUUUGCAGUGAUCUCUGUGACGACGUGAGGCUCCAUUAGAGUUGAAUCGUGGUGAGACGAGGGUUUGGUGAUUGGUGGAGGCUUCGUGGUUCGUCAACGUUGGCGUGAGGAGGCGACAGUGCUGAGCAAGGUCUCCCUGGUCCGUUCAGCGAGGUGAAGAUUUGGUGCAGCUGUGGGCUUGGACGAAUAAGCCAUCUCGUUCUCCGCAAAUCAAACUAG
rnacentral:sRNA from 1 species